AUACAUAGAAUUUGCAAGUUCAUUAAUUAAUUUAAAAUAUUUACAGAUACCUAGAUGCAUAAAAAUUCACCCAUCCAUUAAUACACAAAUACACGUAUUUACAGAUGCGUCUGAAAAGGCGUACGGUGCCUGUGUUUAUAUACGAAGUGUGGAUGAAAACGAUUGUGUUAAUGUUCAAUUAUUAACAUCAAAAAGCAAGGUAGCACCUAUUAAAACCGCCACUAUGCCGCGGCUAGAACUUUGUGGCGCACUCAUGGGAGCAAGACUAUGUGCAAAGGUUGUUUCGUCAAUUACCUUUCAAUAUGUGUCCUGUACAUGUUGGACCGACUCCAUGAUUGUAUUGGGUUGGCUUUCUUCCCAACCAAAUCAACUGAAAUCAUUUGUCCGGCAUAGAGUUAUUGAGAUACAGGAUAGUUCUUUUGAUUGGCGAUAUGUACCAUCCAAGCAAAACCCAGCAGAUUUGGUUUCGCGUGGAGUGCGAGCAGACUUAAUAAAACACUGCCCGCUAUGGUGGUCUGGCCCUUCAUUUUUGAAACUAGAUUCUCAACAGUGGCCUGACAAACCUGUACAAAAUAAUAAUAAUAUAAAAAACCUACCAGAAACAAUAAUAACAAAUUUUCAUACACAAAAUAAUAAUAAAUUAAACAACAAUUCUGAUAAUCAAUGUAACUUAAUAUCUAAACUAAUACUUAAACUAUCAAGCUUUACCAAAUUGAAACGCACAUUAGCAUUUGUAUUGAGAUUUAUUAAUAACUGCCACAAGAAUAACCCAAAACUUACAGGACACCUGACUAUCUCGGAACUCAAUGCCGCAACAACUCGACUACUAUUCAUUUCUCAGCAGGAGUCCUUUCCUGAUGAAUAUCAGUCACUCAUUAACACCGGUAAAUUACCACACAAAAACCGAUUGUUAUCAUUGACUCCAUUUAUGGAUCCCAAUAAUCUCAUAAGAGUGGGCGGCAGGCUUAGUGAUUCUCACUACGAUUACAACGUUAAGCACCCCAUUCUCUUGUGCAGUAAACAUCGUCUAUCCCAACUUAUAUUCGAAUCAUUGCAUAAAACCUAUUUACAUUCAGGGCCUCAAUUGUUAUUAGCCACAGCACGUCAUAAUUAUUGGAUCUUAGGAGGCACCAGGCUCGCAAAGCGCAUUGUACGAGCAUGUGUUAAAUGUUGUCGUUUUGAAGGAAAAACCAUUCAGCCUAUCAUGGGCAACUUACCUAACAGCCGACUUCAUUUGGAAUAUCCUUUUCUAGAAACAGGUGUAGACUACGCCGGGCCAGUGCUGAUAGCAGACCGUAAGGGGAGAGGCUGUAAAUUGGUAAAAUGCUACAUUUGUGUCUUUGUUUGUUUAGCCACCAAGGCGCUGCAUCUGGAGCUUGUCUCAGACCUAACAAAGGAAGCUUUUAUUGCGGCUCUUAACAGAUUUAUAGCGCGACGGGGCAGGCCGCAGAGGAUAUUUUCGGACAACGGAACCACCUUUGUAGGGACCUUUAAUGAAUUAUCUAGCCUACUCAGAGACCCGUCGCUGUCAGCACAUCUAACCGACAAAGAGGAAGACACGGUGGCACACGUCACACGGGGAGCUGCGAGAGGGGUCACUUGUCCUUAUCAAGGACAAGUCUGCACCUCCA